rnacentral:rRNA from 1 species
UAGGGGGUGUAGCAAUACAUCACCGGCGGACGGGUGCGUAACACGUGGGAAUAUACCUUUUGGUUCGGAACAACGCAGGGAAACUUGCGCUAAUACCGAAUGUGCCCUUACGGGGAAAGAUUUAUCGCCAAAGGAUUAGCCCGCGUCCGAUUAGCUAGUUGGUGAGGUAAUGGCUCACCAAGGCUCCGAUCGGUAGCUGUUCUGAGAGGAAGAUCAGCCACACUGGGACUGAGACACGGCCCAGACUCCUACGGGAGGCAGCAGUUGGGAAUCUUGGACAAUGGGGGAAACCCUGAUCCAGCCAUGCCGCGUGAGUGAUGAAGGCCUUCGGGUUGUAAACUCUUUCGACGGGGACGAUAAUGACGGUACCCGUAGAAGAAGCUCCGGCUAACUUCGUG